CCUACGGGUGGCAGCAGUGGGGAAUUUUGGGCAAUGGAGGAAACUCUGACCCAGCAACGCCGCGUGAAGGAUGAAGGUUUUCGGAUUGUAAACUUCUGUCGCGAGGGAUGAAGCAUGACGGUACCUCGUAAGAAAGCCCCGGCAAACUACGUGCCAGCAGCCGCGGUAAUACGUAGGGUGCGAGCGUUGUCCGGAAUGACUGGGCGUAAAGGGAGUGUAGGCGGCAUAUUAAGUCAUGUGUGAAAGCCCGCGGCUCAACCGCGGUAGUGCACAGAAUACUGGUAAGCUGGAGUGCAGGAGAGGUAAGGGGAAUUCCUGGUGUAGCGGUGGAAUGCGUAGAUAUCGGGAGGAACACCAGAGGCGAAAGCGACUUACUGGACUGUAACUGACGCUGAGGAUCGAAAGCGUGGGGAGCAAACAGGAUUAGAUACCCGAGUAGUC
rnacentral:rRNA from 1 species